AGAGUUUGAUCCUGGCUCAGAACGUACGCUGGCGGCACGCCUAACACAUGCAAGUCGAACGAAGUAGCAAUACUUAGUGGCAGACGGGUGAGUAACGUGUAGGUAUCUGCCCUUUGGCCUGGAAUAACACGAGGAAACUUGUGCUAAUACCGGAUAAGUCUUUACGGAGAAAGCUUUAUGCACCAUUGGAUGAGCCUGCACUUGAUUAGUUUGUUGGUGGGGUAAUGGCCUACCAAGACUGUGAUCAAUAGCUGAUUUGAGAGGAUGAUCAGCCACAUUGGGACUGAGACACGGCCCAAACUCCUACGGGAGGCAGCAGUGGGGAAUCUUGCACAAUGGAGGAAACUCUGAUGCAGCGAUGCCGCGUGAGUGAAGAAGGCCCUUGGGUUGUAAAGCUCUUUCGUCGGGGAAGAAAAUGACUGUACCCGAAUAAGAAGGUCCGGCUAACUUCGUGCCAGCAGCCGCGGUAAUACGAAGGGACCUAGCGUAGUUCGGAAUUACUGGGCUUAAAGAGUUCGUAGGUGGUUGAAAAAGUUGGUGGUGAAAUCCCAGAGCUUAACUCUGGAACUGCCAUCAAAACUUUUCAGCUAGAGUAUGAUAGAGGAAAGCAGAAUUUCUAGUGUAGAGGUGAAAUUCGUAGAUAUUAGAAAGAAUACCAAUUGCGAAGGCAGCUUUCUGGAUCAUUACUGACACUGAGGAACGAAAGCAUGGGUAGCGAAGAGGAUUAGAUACCCUCGUAGUCCAUGCCGUAAACGAUGUGUGUUAGACGUUGGAAAUUUAUUUUCAGUGUCGCAGCGAAAGCGAUAAACACACCGCCUGGGGAGUACGACCGCAAGGUUAAAACUUAAAGGAAUUGACGG
rnacentral:rRNA from 1 species